rnacentral:rRNA from 1 species
AUGAGAAUCUUAAAUGGCCGCAGUACCCUGACUGUGCUAAGGUAGCGUAAUCAGUUGGCUUUUAAAUGGAGUCGAGAAUGAAUGGGUUUUCGGGGGUUAGCUGUCUCUUUAAGAUUGAGUCGAAAUUUCUAAAAAGGUGCAAAAUCCUUUAAUCUGAAAAAAGACGAGAAGACCCUUAGAGUUUUUACUAUAAAAAGAUUAAAUUCUUUUAUUGGUUUUUGCUGGGGCGGCAAAGAGACAAUAAACUCUCUUUUUGUAGUUUUUAGAAGACGUGAAUUUAAAGAAACAAUAAACUACCUUAGGGAUAACAGCAUAAUUAAAUUUUAGUUUGUGACCUCGAUGUUGGACUAGGAAAAAUUCUUGGUUAGCCGCCAAGAGUUAAGUUCUGUUCGAACAUG